UUGAUACUUGACACUCAAGCUGAAGUGUUUAUAUGGAUUGGUCAAUCCGUUGACCCCAAAGAAAAGCAAAAUGCUUGGGAAAUUGGUCAGAAAUAUGUGGAGCUGGCUGCAUCUCUAGAGGGAUUGUCUCCCAAUGUGCCGUUAUAUAAAGUCUCUGAAGGAAAUGAACCAUGCUUCUUCACAACAUACUUUUCAUGGGAUUAUACUAAGGCUGUUGUUCAAGGGAACUCAUUCCAAAAAAAGGUGACUUUACUCUUUGGCAUUGGACAUGUUGUGGAGGAAAAGUCGAAUGGGAA
rnacentral:misc_RNA from 1 species